rnacentral:rRNA from 1 species
UACGAAGGGUGCAAGCGUUACUCGGAAUUACUGGGCGUAAAGCGUGCGUAGGUGGUGAGUUAAGUCUGUCGUGAAAGCCCCGGGCUCAACCUGGGAAUGGCGAUGGAUACUGGCUCGCUAGAGUCCGGAAGAGGAGAAUGGAAUUCCUGGUGUAGCGGUGAAAUGCGCAGAUAUCAGGAAGAACACCCGUGGCGAAGGCGGUUCUCUGGGACGGUACUGACGCUGAGACGCGAAAGCGUGGGGAGCGAACAGG